AUACGUAGGGGGCGAGCGUUGUCCGGAAUGAUUGGGCGUAAAGGGCGCGUAGGCGGCCCGGUAAGUCUGGAGUGAAAGUCCUGCUUUUAAGGUGGGAAUUGCUUUGGAUACUGUCGGGCUUGAGUGCAGGAGAGGUAAGUGGAAUUCCCAGUGUAGCGGUGAAAUGCGUAGAGAUUGGGAGGAACACCAGUGGCGAAGGCGACUUACUGGACUGUAACUGACGCUGAGGCGCGAAAGUGUGGGGAGCAAACAGGAUUAGAUACCCUGGUAGUCCACACUGUAAACGAUGAAUGCUAGGUGUAGGGGGUAUCGACCCCUUCUGUGCCGCAGUUAACACAAUAAGCAUUCCGCCUGGGGAGUACGGCCGCAAGGUUGAAACUCAAAGGAAUUGACGGGG
rnacentral:rRNA from 1 species